CCUACGGGUGGCAGCAGUGAGGAAUAUUGGUCAAUGGACGAGAGUCUGAACCAGCCAAGUAGCGUGAAGGAUGACUGCCCUAUGGGUUGUAAACUUCUUUUAUAUGGGAAUAAAGUGUUCCACGUGUGGGAUUUUGUAUGUACCAUAUGAAUAAGGAUAGGCUAACUCCGUUCCAGCAGCCGCGGUAAUACGGAGGAUCCGAGCGUUAUCCGGAUUUAUUGGGUUUAAAGGGAGCGUAGGUGGAUUGUUAAGUCAGUUGUGAAAGUUUGCGGCUCAACCGUAAAAUUGCAGUUGAAACUGGCAGUCUUGAGUACAGUAGAGGUGGGCGGAAUUCGUGGUGUAGCGGUGAAAUGCUUAGAUAUCACGAAGAACUCCGAUUGCGAAGGCAGUUCACUGGACUGCAACUGACACUGAGGCUCGAAAGUGUGGGUAUCAAACAGGAUUAGAUACCCUUGUAGUC
rnacentral:rRNA from 1 species